UACGGAGGGGGCUAGCGUUGUUCGGAAUUACUGGGCGUAAAGCGCGCGUAGGCGGCUUUGUAAGUUAGAGGUGAAAGCCCGGAGCUCAACUCCGGAACUGCCUUUAAGACUGCAUCGCUAGAAUUGUGGAGAGGUGAGUGGAAUUCCGAGUGUAGAGGUGAAAUUCGUAGAUAUUCGGAAGAACACCAGUGGCGAAGGCGACUAACUGGACACGUAUUGACGCUGAGGUACGAAGGCUAGGGUAGCGAAAGGG
rnacentral:rRNA from 1 species